rnacentral:lncRNA from 1 species
AACGACUAAGGCAAUCAAACUUGUCUGUAGCCGCUACAACCCCUGCUAGAAUCGCACGGCCAACUAAGUCUAUUUUCUUCUCAUUCCUCUCAGGUAGCAUGAGCUGCACCAAUUUCUCAACUCCUUCAGAAUCUACCAAACCACCUUUGUCUGUAAAUUUUGAAAUCUCAGACUUUAAACCACUUUCUGUUCUGACGGGACCAGAACCACUGUCAUCUACUCGAGUAGAACGUUCCCGUUUAACAGACUCAGAACCAUGAUCCAUGCGCUCUCUUUUCCUUCCCUUACCCUGAGAGAGAAAAGAAUUGUUGUUUGGGAUGCCAUCUUUCGCUUGUGAUGUUGUUGGACUAUUCGUGGACUUGGGAGAACGACCUCCCUGUUGUAGUGUUGUAUGCAUUUCUGAACGAGUCUUACACAAUAACUUAUCUACUUCAAGUUGUCGAUCCUGCAAAGUGAAAAAAUGCCUUAGUUACCAGAAGAAAAACAUAAAUCUAGAUAGGAGAAUGCAGUUGAUGGUGAAUUAUAAUCUCACAUCAAUAUAGUCUUGAUCAGUCAGCCACCAUAAGCGCUCGUUUGUAACGUCGUAUACUCGCCGACACACAAACGAGCAGAUACCAGAUGGCAGUUCAACACCUCUCGGAAGGAAGGCAACUUUACACGGAUGCAGUAAAGAUGCAGCAGGUAUAGUAUCCUGGUGAAAGGAAUAAAAGAGUUCGUUCGGCUCGGCUUCUAGAAGUAUGCCUUUGCCAAGUUUUAAUUCUGUGGGUCGGUAAAGCCAAUUAACACCCAACUUCAACUUAUCUUCUUUCUUGGCAAUGAUCAAGCGAAUUAUCCCAAUGAACGGUGGACAAUCCUGUGGUGGCUUAAAAAGAGCACAGUCACCAACACUAAUUUUGCGGCCGUCCUGCUAGUGACAGCAAAACACAACAAACCUAUAAGACGAAGAGCCAACAAAAAAAGAAAAAAAACAAUACCCAUACACAUAAAUCACCAGACUGAUGUGAUCAAUUCUUUGUUCAAUCAGGCUAGAAAUUGGUAAAGAAAAAAAAACCCUCAUUUCCUCGAAUCAAUCAAUAGAAUCCCAAAAUCCAGGCAAAUUUCAACACUCCAGGCAAACCCAUCAACCAAAACAAAUGGAAGCACGAAAAAAAAUGAGCGUCUGGGAAUAAAAAGUCGAAACGAAAAGGAUUCGAAUUACCUUAGAAAACGAGGUAGACGAAGAUAAAGACAAACAAGAAGAACCACCACCUUCCACACUCGCAAUUACACGCGAGGAAGAUAUCAACAUGUGCCGACGACGACUUUUGUGCCUCCGCUCACAAACCCUCCCAUGCAUAGCCUUCUAUCAUCUUCUCCUUCGAACAACAUCAAUACACUACUCCUCAGCGAAAUCCAACAAAUCCUCAAGCAAUUCCCUUUAUUCCCAGACAAUUUUCGAUACCUUAGAUCCACGAAACCCACCGGCGACGCACAGAAAAAAACCCUAAUUUCGCGACGAAAUGGAUCAAAUCUCUAGGGUAGUUUCAAUUACCGAUCCGAAGAUAACUACACAGAUCCAAAAUCAACAACAGCAACAAGGAAGUAAUCGAAUCAGCCUUGUUUCGAUCCAGGCAUACGAACUUUUUUCCUUCGCGAAAUCGCGUAAGCGAACAAAACACCAGCAAAAAUAAUAAAUCGUAGAGAGAGAGAGAGAGAGACGGGGCAAAAAGGGGAAAGGUGACUUGGGAGAGUUCGGGCGGAUCGGGUCGGGUAGAGAGAAAGAGGGGAGAAGUUGUGGAAAGGGGCAAAGAUAACGUGACAGUGCGGUGACUUAAAUGAUAAAACAAUAUGUGCGUGACGUCAUCUCCGAUCUUUUUCAGGUGACAUAGGGACUAGAGAGAUUAAGAGGUGGGUGAGUGACGGACGGUUUGACCACGUUUCCUUACUCCUUUGACUUUAUUUCUUUUGUUUGUUUUUUUUUUCAAUCAAAAAACUUUGAUCCACGGUUUGCAGAACCGGAAUAAACCAAGAAAAAGUAUUUUAUGAAUUUUAUUUGCUCAAUUUAAAUUAUUUUCAAUUAACAUAUACUGUGAUGACCAAUUUAUGAUCAGUACAAACUUGGUUAGUUAUUGUCUCAACCACUCAUAAUCAUUUCUCAACUAUCAACUACACAUACAUUAGACGAAUAACUACAUAUAUUUUGAUUUAUGUGUUUGUAUUUUUAGGCUGAAAAAUGAAAUAUUAUACGUAUUAAGGUGAUAAACAAAAAUAUCAGCAGUAGAUUUUUUUUUCCACCAACAUUUUGUGCAAUAAACGAAAUGAUAAUUUUUUACUUUUUCAAAAUGUUUUAUAUACUAGGUUUUAGUCUGUGAUACACCAUGGAUCCAUAAUUUAAUAUAUUGUUUGUCAGUUCGAUUUUGGUUUUUGAGAAAAUCAAAACUGCUACGUUAAACAGAGAAGGUUGCAAUUAGGUUUUAAGAUUGGUUUCAAGACGACAAUUUAAAUUUGGGGUUAGUCUAGUUAGCGAUUUUACGAUUUUAAAUUGCAGUUAAGAAAAAUAUAUGAUUUGGUUGGUCGAGAAGAGUUUUAUAAUUUGUGUGAAAUUACGAAAUCUGGUAUCUGGUGACAUAGGGUAAAAGUACAUGUGAAAUUAGUUGAAAGUUGAAACACUAUAGCACAAGGAUCUGAUACAUGCACACCUAACAUAAUUUUUUGUUUUUUUUUUUUUUUUUUUGCAGGAUGAGAUAGUGUGCUAUUUGAAGGAAAACUUAAAAUUUUGAGAAAAUGGAAAAAGGUCUACUGUAUACACAACACAUAUUGUGAGGAGGAUAGAUCGAGCCUGUGAAGGUAGACAAAGAUGAAGGAUUUUGGCUGUUAAUUUCAAACGGAACUAGCACAAGUAAUAAAUCUACAAACUGAAGAAAAAAAAGAAAAAAACAACUAAUCUUGUGUCUCUAUAAUACAACCCCCAUCACCUAACUCAGCACAUAUAUGUAAAGCCACAAUGCCAAAGACUGGAUUUAUCAUAAUUUAAAACACACUAAAAGCCACCUACAUUUGUUUUAUCUCUCUACUCUUUUGUGCCGGUGUAUAGACUACACACAUGCAUGUUUAGAAGAAUGACCAAAUAGUGUGUUUCACCUUUUUAAAAAUCAUGUGUGCGGAGGAGGAGGUAAUGCGGGUCUCUCGCUGAGAACCUUGUUAAUGACUCUUCUGUUAAUGACUCUACUGAAAGAGAAUGGCCACGCCGGUGAAUUUGGAACUGUUAUUGGAAGAUCUAAAUGAUGGUGAAACCAUGAGGUCAGGUUAGUGAUCGUAAAAACGUUGAGACCACUGUGAAGUCGCAAAUUGACUCUCCCAUUCCUCAUCUUGAACAGAGCAGGCCAGCCAAUGAAGCCUUGCGGCAUCACAAUCAGUCUCAUCUCGUAGUAACUAGCAAAGUAAAAAAUAAGUAACUGAACCAUUAGUAGGAGAGAAAAAAAAUGAGGUACGAAACACUAAAAUUUGUGGAUUUCGAGGGCUCACAAGUUCAUGUGGCCUACUAAGAUUCAGAGAUAUUGUUAUUGCCACGAGGACUGCCUAUAUCCAUCCCAUCCUCCUUCUGGUUCUUUCCUCUUCAGAACACCACCUGACAUUGCUUGAUCGUCCUUCGACGGUAAGGAAGUAGAUGAGAAUAAUUGCCUUGCCAUAAGGGUUGAUUCGUCUCUUCCCUCUGUUUCAUGACCUCCAGGACCAGAAUUUAAGUCAAGUCCUGACCUAAACCAUUUCGCGCUAUUGUCCAAAACUCCGACAUUGCUACCACCAUUUAGGAGACCAACGAUAUAAGGUCUUGGGUAAUUAGACGGAACUGAAACCCCAGGACCCAAUAUUUGAGAGUUGACACCAGGGAAGCAAGCUCUCCCACUUGAAGAAGAAUCCAUGUGUGCUGUAGAAGCACCAGAAAAAUUUGUUGAGGGAAUGGGGAAGCUGUUUCCAAAAGGAAACACAGGAUACUGGAACGUUGUGGACUGAAACGGCAUGGCUGGAGACGACGACAAAACCGGACCCCUAUACCCUUCAGGGGUAAAUGAGGAAACACCAGUUGUUGGACCUAACAUUCUCUGUGGUCCACGAUUGGCAAUCAUUGGAAAAGGCUGAUCACCUCUCUCAGGCAUAAUUGGAGGAAUGCUCACAGCUGAAUAAGCGUUAGCAGCAGGAAACCAAGUUGAGAUACUAGCCAUGUUUUCGCCAUUCACUUGUAUCCCAGAGAGAGAUGGUUGUGAUGGCAAGCCACUCCGUGAAUGUUGAUUUAGAAUCAUAGAUGACUCAACAGCCGCAUCAUCACCAGCAGGUCCAUCAUUUAAAUCAAAAUCUCUACGACCACCAGCUGUUGAUAGUUUAACCUGCUGAAAAGAUGGCUCUAACCGAUGACUACUGCUCAUUGUGUAGUUGUUCAUAUCAGUGGAAUCAUCAACUUUGUUAAGAUCAAGAUCAAGUCCCCCAGAAGAAUGAUCAAGCGCUAAACCCAUGACCCCAGAAUGAAUGCGGUCACAACUAUCGGUGAUACCAGAUGUACAAUUUGUGGCAUUUCCAGAUUUUUGAGAAGCCAAAUCUUCAAGAACUCUCUCGUCAGCUACAUUCAAGUCAAAAUCCAAAAACGUCCUUGUCUGUUUACCAGCAGAUGUCGAAGCAUCAGAGGUAAAGGUAUUGUUAAUGCUCAGUAACACAUCCAGAGGUUUUCUUGGCGCAGCUGGGCGGAAGGCACUAGUGGCAGCAGAUCCUCUCCAACCAACAGCCCCUUUAUUUCUCAACAGAUCUUCAGGUGGAGCAAACGGACCUUUUGCAGCAGCAGCAGCAGUAAUUCUGCUAGAUACAGGAGCCACCGGCAAAGGUAAGGUAUUAACUGGUUUUAGAGGAGUAGGCGUCAAAAAUAAAGAUCUUGAGAAGUUAUUUGAAUCUACAUGUUUUAAAUCGUCUCCAUCAAAACCUUCAUUUAGAUCAAAUUCAACUCUGGCAUCCAUAUCUGAUCCACCUGAAGUUGCAGCUGAAACAGAAGAAGCAUCUCUGGCAGCAGAUGUACAUUCCUCUGCUUCAUCUCCAUCAGCAUCACUGGUUUUAGGCCCAUUCGGUCUCUUUAGAUCCUCUACAUCUUUAGGUGGUACUCCUGGUGUAGCUCUUAACCCUGUAUAGGGUUCCUUCACUUCAAUAUUUCCUAGAUUCCCCUCUACAGGCUCAACUUUACCUAUAGUUACAGAUGAAUCCAAACCAGCUGAGACCUCCUUUAUAGCAGCCACAGAAGCAUUACAAUCCAGCUUGAUCUUCUUUAUAUCUUUCUGGUCUAUAUGAUUAAUAGCUAUACUAUUAACCAUUUCAAUUACAGGUCUAUCAAUGAUUACUGCAUUCAUAUCCCUUGAAAUUCCGGGAGAAACUGGUACAUCUUCAUCCACUUUUUUAACUAGCUCAGAACUCAACACCGUUGGGGGUUUCUCUUCUUUCUUAUCAUCAUCGACACCGUCCAAGGGAGCGUGUCCAACAGCCACAGAAUCUACCUUUUCACUUAUAUCUUUACGAUUAGUUAGCAUCGAGCUUGCCAAUCUUUUCAUUGAGUCAGAUGUGUGAUCUGCAUCUGAAUUAGCAUCAGCCUUUGUAUCCUUUACUUCCACAGAGUCACUAUCAUCCAAAAUGUUUUCCUUAACCGCGUUUGUGGGCAAAGCAGGUGAAGCGAUGACAUAAUCUGAAUUGUCAUUGCUCUCUAAGUGUUGUUCCACCAACCUUUGCAGAUCUUCAGUGUCUGAAUUUGAUCUCUCAUCAGGAUCUCCACUCUUCGAUUCAUUUUUUAUAGCUGACUCCACCAACUGUGUGCCACUACUGCUAACAUGUUGCUCAUCCUGAUGUUGCUCGUGCGGCAACCCAUCCGAAGUAAUUAGCUUUGUAUUGUUCCCUACAGUAGAAUUUUCAUUCAUCCGGGAAUUUGACGGCUGAGAUACUGAGGGUGAUGCAACUGGCGAUUUAGACAUCUCAUCAGCAGCUACACUAGCAAGAAGAUUCAUUCCAACAUCAUCCGAACAAGCCAAAGAGGUAUUUGUCUCAGAGUAUCGGACACAACUUUCAAUCAAGGCAUUCAUUGAACUGAGUGUUCCACCAUGCCUUUCUCCAGAUUUGAACUCAUUUCCUGAGGAAGAUGUGCCUCUAACAUUCCCAGCUGCUUUAUCAGAAUCUUCAAGAGUUAUGCCACGCUCAUCAUCAGGAACAGCAAGUGGUGAACCAGCAGCCUUUUGCGAGCCUGUCAAAAUAUCUUUUAAUUCAUUGCUUUGCCAAGACUCAGCAUUCAAGACAGAGGUGACAUUAGCUCGAUAAGAAUUAUUCUUUUCUCUCGCAUUAUUGUCACACAGUUCCUGCUUCACUGCAUGCACAGGAGAAGAAGCUCUACUAUUCACCGGUGCAGGGUCCUCCAAAGAACCUCCACUCACACUUUGAGCAGGACUGCGUCCCCGAUUUGGCAGCUUCACAAUCAAUUUAUUACUGCAACCCUCAGUCAGAGGAACCUCAACAGUCUUUUCAGAUGUCAAACUUGAUUGAGAAAUUUUCUCAGAAGGGACGUUCCUUUGUGAUGAGAAGUUUUUACUUAAACCAGCUUCUCUAGGAGAGGCUAACGAAGAUGAUCCAUGAAAUGCAUUGUUUAAUUUAUGAUGCCUUGAAGAGCCACUAGAGCACUUCUUCACAGUUGAACCCGCAGUUGAGCUCCUUGCAUCCUCUUUUCCAGAUAAAUUGCCUGUUUUAGCAUGUUCGCUCGAGCAAGACUGACUAUUAUUGUGGGACUGACUGGAGCUGCUACUUUUCUCAACCUUUACUGCAGCUAAAACUUCAGAUACACCAUCAGUCCCAGUAUUUCGUUGCUGUCCAUCUUUGGAAACAGUACCACCUGAUCCGGGAGAUGGGGAUGAUCUUGUAGAGCCUGGCGACAUGGUUACACACUUCAGGUUGUUAUCCACCUGUUCUUUGACCGAGACUGACUUAGUUGCAUGUAGAUGUGAUGAAGAUGUCUUGUUUGCUUCCGCGGAACCACCUGUAUGCCUUCCCCCAUGAGUCAGUCUUCCAGGCCAAGAUACACCCUGGUUGGAUCCAGACUUCGCAUCCAUUUCUGCCUCAACUCGUUUCUUCCAUGUGUCAACCAAGCUCCUUGCUUUUCUCCCAAUCUCUGAAUUUUUAUGUGACCGUAGAUGAUUAACAGACUUUCCAAUGUUACAAGUCUGAAGCGCAUUGAGAUUCACAGGUAGCUUGUCAAGAGCGCGAAGUAAGACUAAGAGGAAAUCGUCUACUAACCUCUCACUGUCUUUAGGACUGCUCCCAUCCCCAACUUUCCCUUUAUGAACUUCCUGCAGCCACUCAUCAAACACGGGUAAUCCCCUGAGCUGGAAAAAACGAAUAAGGCAAUCAAACUUGUCUGUUGCCGCUACAACCCCAGCAAGAAUCGCACGGCCAACUAAGUCUAUUUUCUUCUCAUUCCUCUCAGGCAGCAUGAGCUGCACCAAUUUCUCAACUCCUUCAGAAUCCACCAGACCACCUUUCUCUGUAAAUUUUGAAAUCUCAGACUUUAAACCGCUUUCUGUUCUGACUGGACCGGAACCACUGUCAUCUACUCGAGUAAAACGUUC